rnacentral:tmRNA from 1 species
GGGGCUGAACUGGUAUCGACUCUGAUCGACCGAGAUAGGGGAAGCGAGCCGAGGACUCCGAGUCACCUCGAGAAUCACCUCGGAACACUUAUAACUGCCGCUGCGUAAGCACGGUUGCCGUCCCUAAAACGACGGCCGUCGGCCCGGGAAUCGCCUGCGUUUCCGGGAUCCGGCGUCGCCUAGCAGGCUUACCGUCCGGAGUUCGUUUGGUGCGAAGGACGGGAAAACUCAACCGAACUAGGCUCCGGCCGUCGCUGUUUGCGGGCCGGCCGAAGCCGAAACCCAACCGCAGACUACGCUCGUAGAAGUCCUAUAGCGGGGUCGGGGGACCCGGGUUCGAUUCCCGGCAGCUCCACUA